AUGGCCAGACUUUUCCUUGUGUUGACCAAAACCUGGAGAGUUGAAGAAUGGUUGAGGUUUGUGAAUUUUUCUGUGGGGGAUUUUGGAGCUGGGUUUUGCUUCUCAGCACACUGUUGGUAGCCCGGAGACCUGUAUUAUUAAGUUUUCAUUUUGGGCCAUUGGCAAAAACUGUCCUAUUAGCGUUUCAGCGUCAUUUUUUGUGAUCGCAGGAAUGUGGUUGCACGCACGAGUGCCUGUCGGUCAAGCCGGCGGUAUUUUCGUUUCUCUUAAUGGUGGGAGUGUUGGUUCAUUAGUCAGGUGGCGCUAAAGUAGGGUUAACAAUCAAGUGCUGCUCUAGAUUCGCUUAUGCAGAUCAGACCCACCAGUAUUAUAAGGGUAGAGCUUCAGGGGAUCAAUCUAUUUUGUUUUAUUUUAUUUUUGAAUGAUCAAAGCUCUGAUUUGCGGAUUUGGACUCUGCUCUCAGCUGAGUUGGGUUUGUGAUAGGAAUCUGUCUAUUUCUAUUGUUUUUCUUUCAAAGAAUAUUCAUCUCUUUGAUAUUUGUUUGUGAGGGUUAAACCUCUUAGCUUGACGCACGCGGAGUUCUCCACAGUUUUUAGAAGGGGAAGCCAUAAAAACGACUUGUUGAUCGGUGCAGCAGGUGCUCGUAGUAACGUGUUGCGGAAGCAUAUUGAAGUCGUGCACAUUCAAUCUCGAUCUCAUCGGUUUGAUAUUCUCGUUUGUGCAUUAGGUCAAAAGAGCCCUACCCAUGCGAUUGGCUCACGGCUCUUGGCAUCCUUCUAUUAUAAACUCUCUAGAAAAAUUUGGGUACACUUGAAGACUUCACUGCAACCCCUUCCAGCCUUCAAAGAUCAUUUAAGAUGAAGAUUGCGGCAUCUUUAUGAAUGCUUGGUAACCUUAUUUUUCGUAAUCAGACGGUGUAGCCGUAGAAAAUGGCAAUUCAGAGUCGAAGAUCUUCGGUGUGGCCUCGGUAUUUGAACCCAACUUAUUACCUACGGCGACCGAGGCGGCUUCUGAUCCUGUUUGCCUUCUUCGUGUGCACCACGUUCUUCCUAUGGGAUCGCCAUAAUCUUGUCCUGCAUCACGAGGAGACUGUUGGAAAGCUAGCUCGAGAGAAUGACAAACUACAGCAUUCGCUUAAGGAUCUUACAAAAAUGCUGGAGGAGAAGGGUGAAGUUCUACCCCAGGAGCUAAUAUCACAGGAACAGGAGAUGAGUGACACCAUUAGCAGUGAGGAGGGAUUGGCUGGUGUUGAUGAAGAUCCAGUUGCGGCUGAAAGGCGUAAUAAAAUUAAGGAUGCUAUGCUACACGCAUGGACAUGUUAUGAGAAAUAUGCAUGGGGCUUUGAUGAGCUCAAGCCACAAUCCAAGACUGGAGUGAACCAGUUUGCAGGACUUGGAGCAACCAUUGUAGAUUCCUUAGAUACGCUCUUUAUCAUGGGCUUGCAGAAACAAUUCAUAAAAGCUAGAGACUGGGUUGCAGAAAACCUAGAUUUCAACAAACACGUGGAAACUAGUGUUUUUGAGACCACCAUCAGAGUUUUGGGAGGGUUGCUGAGUGCGUACGACUUAUCUGGCGAACCAAUGUUCCUAAGGAAAGCACAAGAAAUAGCAGACCGGUUGAUGCCUGCAUGGGAGAGCCCUUCAGGCAUCCCUUACAACAUUAUCAACUUGGCAACCGGACAUGCCAGUAACCCGAGUUGGAGCGGGGGUCAAAGCAUAUUGGCCGAUUUAGGGACUGAGCAGGUGGAGCUCAUUGCAUUGACACAACGGACUGGCGUACCACAUUACAAAGAAAAGGCUGAGAAGGUUAUUAAGCAGCUGAGAAAGGUGUUCCCAAAUGACGGUCUUUUAUCCUAUUAUGUCAAUCCUGAUUCCGGCCAACCUUCAUAUGGCAAAGUAACGUUUGGAGCCAUGGGGGACAGCUUUUACGAGUAUCUCUUGAAAGUUUGGAUUUUGGGAAAUAAAACGGAGGUUGUAAAGCACUACAGGGAGAUGUGGGACCAAUCCAUAGAUGGUAUGAUGAAGAGCCUGGUUCAGAAAACCUCAAAUCCUCCUAUUUACACAUAUCUUGCGGAACGAAGUGGCAAUCAGUUGAUACACAAGAUGGACGAAUUGGCGUGUUUCACCCCAGGGAUGCUGGUACUUGGCACAGACGGUGCAUCUCCUCAAAAAGCCAAGGAGUACUUGGACCUUGCCGAAGAGCUCGCUAAUACAUGUUACAACAUGUAUAUGUCAACACAUUCGAAGCUGGCUGGGGAAAGUUACAACUUUAACAAUGGGAAGACGUCAGCUUCGUGGACACGUGAUGGCAGAGAGACUAACAUGGAUAUGUGGGAGGGAAUAGGGGAUGGAAGUUGGGGUUUCUUGGAACAUUCUGAGACCCGAAACUAUCGAGUCCCUCAUGUAUUUAUGGCGCAAGACUGGUAAUAAAAAGUACCGGGAUUGGGGAUGGAACAUAUUCCAAGCCUUUGAAGCUCAAUCGCGGACAUCUACGGGCUACGUUGGUUUAAGAAAUGUCCACACAGGCGAAAAGGACGACAUGAUGCAGAGUUUUUUUCUGGCAGAGACGCUCAAGUAUCUUUACCUCCUGUUUUCUCCCUCCACGGUGGUUCCACUCGACGAAUGGGUGUUCAACACUGAAGCUCACCCAGUGCGCAUCAAAACCCGAAUGAACGAACCCAUUGCUUUGGAAGACGACCUCGAGAAGACGAAGAUAACAAAUGCUCUUUUACCCCUCGAGCGACGACCAGGAUGGAAAGGGAAAUGAGCAUACUAACAAAUAACCAACACCUUAGACUCAAGACUAGGCAUAGCUCUAAUAUUACCUGCCAUGGUUCAUUGUUAUGUCUUAUGCUGUCCUAAGCUUGAACAGUGUCUCCGUUGCAGUUUUAUUUCCACUGGAGCGACACCUUCAAUUGUUUGCCAUUGCUACCAGCUGUUGCUUCAAGGUCUUGUAGCGGGAUGUGACGACCAUUUCUAUGGUUGUCAAAUGGGCAUUUCUAGUUAGAACUAACCUAGAACCUACUUGUACUAGAACCUACAAGGAUUGCUUAAACACGAUUUUGACAUGGUGUAGGAUCUUUAGACUGCAAGAUCUUCACUCAGUAAGUCAAACUCAACUCUCAUAUUCAAUAGAUCAUUUCUUAACCAAAGCACAUUUUGUGGCUCCACCCCAUA